CGGGGCCGCCCCUCGCCGGAAGCGAGCGCCCGUGCGCGACCGUUGCGGGCGGGCGGCGGGGGGAUGUCGGCCGCGUGCGCCGUGUCCCGCAAAGCGCAGCCGGCGCUGCCGCCGCCGCCGCCCCGGGGCGAGAGGGACCCGCCCGCCAAGGCCAUGCGCAGGGGGCUGCGGCGGGGCCACGAGGAGGAGCGCGAGCAGCUGUCGUGGCCGGCGGAGGGCACGGGCGGCGGGGGCGGCGAGCGGCAGGCCGAGCGGGCGGCCGAGCGCGGCGACGAGCGGCGGCGGCGGCAGCCGCACGAGCCCAGGGCGCUGGCGGCGGCGGCGGCGGCGGCCCGGGCGGAGGAGGAGGCGGAGGAGGAGCGCAUGGAGCGGGAGCACUUCCGCAGGAUCAUCAACGCCUUCCGAUACUACGGAACGAAUAUGCAUGAACGAGUGAACAGAACAGAGAGGCAGUUUAAAUCUCUCCCAGCUAACCAACAGUGUCUUCUUCCUCAAUUCCUUCCUCACCUUGACAAGAUUCGGAAGUGCAUCGAUCAUAAUCAAGAAAUACUACAUACCAUUGUGAAUGACUGCGUACAUAUGUUUGAAAAUAAAGAAUAUGGAGAAGACGGAAGAGGGAAGAUUACGCCAGCUUCAACGUUUGACAUGGAUAAAUUGAAAUCCACCUUGAAACAAUUUGUGAGAGACUGGAGUGAAGAGGGAAAGCCUGAGAGAGAUUCCUGCUACCAGCCAAUCAUUAGUGAAAUUGUAAAGAACUUUCCAAAAGAAAGAUGGGAUUUCUCCAAAGUCAAUAUCCUGGUGCCUGGUGCUGGGCUAGGUAGAUUGGCAUGGGAAAUAGCUAUGCUUGGUUAUGCUUGCCAAGGAAACGAAUGGAGCCUCUUUAUGCUCUUUUCUUCUAACUUUGUACUCAACAGAUGUUCUGAAGUUAACUCAUGUAAGCUUUAUCCCUGGAUUCAUCAGUUUAGCAAUAACAGAAGAUCUGCUGAUCAGAUACGUCCAAUUUAUUUCCCUGAUGUUGAUCCUCACAGUCUUCCUUCUGGUUCAAACUUCUCUAUGACGGCAGGGGAUUUUCAAGAAAUUUACUCUGAGUGCAAUACUUGGGACUGCAUAGCAACUUGCUUUUUCAUCGAUACGGCACAUAAUGUUAUCGAUUAUAUUGAUACCAUAUGGAAAAUACUAAAGCCUGGAGGAAUAUGGAUAAAUGUCCUUUACUUUACCACUUUGAAAACUUGGCAAAUGAGCUUUCUAUAGAAUUAAGCUACGAGGAUAUAAAAAAUGUUAUACUGCAGUAUGGAUUCCAUAUAGAGGUGGAAAAAGAAUCUGUACUGUCAACUUACACUGUGAAUGAACUCUCCAUGAUGAAAUACUACUAUGAAUGUGUGUUGUUUGUGGUGAGAAAACCAGAAUAGGAGUGGUUUGAAUAGGUUAGUCAGAAGAAAAAAUGUUGGCUUGAAUGCUAGAAUCAAAAGUAAAAUGGACUGAGUGAUGUGAUGUCUGGACACAACCUCAAAUCAGUGGUGCCUUCUUAUUCCUAAUAAGAUUUAGAUAGUGUCUAUUUUCUUAAUAUCUAUGUUGCUAUCCAGACGUGUACUAUGCCAUGCAUAUUUGUACUAUAGUGAAAAUCGAGGAGGAAAUGUUUGCAUACACUGUCUUUAUGCUUUGGAAUGAAUUUAAAAACAAAAAUGUUUUCUUGGGUAUAAAACUUAAUGUUAACCAGAAUCAGGCUAGUUUUCCACAUAUACUGCCUCAUUUUUCUCAGAUCCAUAGUGAUCUCCUUUUUUCUCUGCUUGGCGGUACUUAAUAUACUUUCUGUGUCAUGUUUAGAAGAGCAUUUUUAAACAUACAUUUAAAAUUACAAAAUCUGAAAUGGUUGAAAAGUGAUAAUACGAUCCUGGACAGAUAUAAUACCCAUCAGAACUGUUACAGUGUUCUCUGUGGAUCCAAAAAUAGGAAGGAAGUAGAUUAUUGUUAAAAAUUCUAAUUUUUGCCUGUACCAGUGUUAACAGUUUUAUCGACACACAGAAUCGGUAGGCAGUUUGAAAUACUCUGUGAAAGCAGAGAACAGAGUGAAGAAGAGCAGCAUGUAACAGGAAGCAGUAUACUAACCUCAGUUCAGGAAUAAACCAGUUCUGAUUAGUCCCUUAGUGUUGAAAUUGAAAUUUUGGAUGCUUUGCAGUCUUAAAAUAUAUUGUUUUUUGAGUCACACACUUCCUGCUUAAGCCAAAGUUUUAAAGGUGUAACUAACAGAAAGCUCUUCUCUUUCUUAAUAACAAAGCUGAGUUAUCCAUGCCAUAUACCUGUAUUGUGACAGAAAGAAAUCCUUCUUUCUCAAAGGAAAAAAAAAAAAAAAAAAAGUUACAUGUGAAAAAUAAUGUACUGUAACCUCAUGGCUUCAUUUUCUGAGUCAGCAUAUGCAGGAUGAUUGGCAGAAUUUCAUUGUAGCUUUAGGCACUUUACCCAUGCUACUCUGGCUUACUUCUUGGUUCCUUAUCCUAACUUUUUUCCUGGCUAACGAGGCUUCGUUGGAUAUUUAUCCUGGCUGAAUCUUCAUACAAGAGAAGCUGAAUCUUCUGUCGCUCAAGUUAUAUAAAUGAGAAAACGUUAAUAAUUACUGUACUGAGAGGAAGUGUCAUGGUAGCCAUUUGUUUUCUUAAUGUAUUGGUUAAUUUCAGUACCAACCUUCAUCCUUACUCAGAACUUUCUUUAAAAUGUAAGAAGCUUGUGGUAAGGAAUCAAUGCUGUUUUUAGUAUUUGGACAUAAUGGCACUGGACAAUAACUUGUUUAAAUGCUUUCCCUUAUUUCUAGUCCCUUUUUGCAGGAUGAUGUCAUAAUCACUUAAAUAGUUCCAUUAGUAACUAAUGGAUUUUUCCUGUUAAGGCCGGACAUUUGUGCCUUCAUAUCUAACCCGAAAGUUUGCAUGGAGGAAAACACAACUUUUUUUUAUAUAUAUAUAUAAUUUCAACACUGCAUAUGAAAGAGAGUAAGCGUGGACGUUCCAAUACUAUGCCUCUUUCUGCUCAGAAUCCUUACUGAGAGCAAAGGCUUCUGGACUACAGAAGUUUUCCGUUAGAGCUUUACUUAAACUUGAACUCUCUCUUCUUCCUACGCUGUACCACCAAGAUUUAACUCCAUUAAUCAACCCCGCUCCAAGAACAAUGUUGAAAGCUGAAACACAGCUAUUACAAGUAGAUUAAAAGGAAAACCCUUGAGCACCUUUAAAAGAAAGAAAGAAAAAGUCUUCAGUUACUUUCAUUUUCUUAUUGUACUAUUUACUCUGUUUAAUGAAUGGACUUCAAUUUCUGGUGAUGCUUUACCUUCAUUUUGACUUUUUUCCCCUUAUAUAAAAUGUGAUUAGUAUUUUAUUUGGGUUUACUUGAAUAAGUUCUUUGAAGUCAGGCAAAGUUAGAUGAAUGUUGAUUAUGCAGUUGUUGAGUAGCUACACCUGUAAUAUUGCCCAAUUUCUGCCUCUUAACCAGUCUUUAGUUACACUUGGAGUGUGGUGUUUUUUACAACUAAGCAAUUGAACUCUUGCGUUCUGGCUGAAUGUCGGUAUCCUUUGUUCUGUUGGUUUUGUUCUUUGCAACAGUACAUUGUCACAAGUGCCAUUUUUUCAUUGUUCUAGGAAAUGUUUUUAUUUACUUUUAUCAUGUAUAUAGUGAUGUGCUUCUACUUCUCGUGUGGAAAAUGCCAAUUUUCCCACAUUUUUUCCUUCCAUGUAUAACAGCUGCAUUAACAGUUGGAAGCCGAAUAAUGUUGUGAAUAAGUUGUAUGAGUUAGUGUUUUACCUGCGGUCCUAUUUAUGAGUUCUUACAAUUCAUCAUUUGUGUUUUUAUCGAUGGGGAUAAUUGUAUGUUAUUCAAUGUGAUCAGACUCUUCCUCAGUUGUGUACGCAGGGGGAAAAAAACGCUUAAGCUGUCUGUCAGCAGAAGCCGAGACAAUUUCGGUCACUAUUAAACUGUAUGUGGUAUUGAGUGUAAAAUAAAACGCUGCAUAACCUUCA